UUUAUAGGGCUGCACCAACGGCAUAUGGAAGUUCCUAGGCUAGGGGUCGAAUGAGAGCUAUAACUGCUGGCUUACACCACAGCCACAGCAAUGCUAGAUCUGAGCUGCAUCUGAGACCUACACUACAGCUCACAGCAACGCUGGAUCCUUGACCCACUCAACAAGGCCAGGUAUAAUACCUGCAUCCUCACAGAUACUAGUCAGAUUCGUUUCCACUGAGCUACAACAGAAACUCCUGAUUGUUUAUUUUGUUGUGGAGAAGCUCUUUAGUUUGAUGUAGCUCCACUUGCUUAUUUUUUGCUUGUACUUUGGGUAUCAUAAUCCAAAAACUCAUUGCCACAACCAAUGUCAAGGAGCUUUUUUUCCUGUUUUCUUCUAAGGGGUUUUAUGGUCUCAGGUCUUACAUUUAAGUCUUUAAUGCAUUUUGAGUUAAUUUUUGUAAACGAUAUAAGGUAGGGGUCCAACUUCACUAUUCUGCAUGUAUUUAUACAGUUCUCCCAAACCAGUUAUUGAAGAGGCUAUUAUUGGCACCUCUGUCAAAUAUUAGUUGGCCUUGUAAGUGUGGGCUUAUUUCUGGGAUCUCAAUUCUAUUCCAGUGGUCUAUGGUUUCUAUUUUUAUGCCAGUACCAUCCAUUUCAAUUACUACAGCAUUGCAAUAAAGUUUGAAAUCAGGAAUUUUGAUGCCUGAAAGGGGGUGUAUCAUAAGGAAAAUAGAAACCUUAGACUUGUAGAAAUUUUCCUACUAAUCUGAUUCUUUAAAAACAUUUUAAGCCUCCUUCUUAAAUAAUUACAUUAGAUGGAACACUGUAAAUCAAAUAAAAUAAAACAAUUUUUUAAUUGCAUUAGGUCACUGUUUUAGUUACACUGAUCUGUGUAGUACUUAAAGUUUUAAUGUUUCUCCUUUUCAAAAGUCUAUUUUCUGAGCAAAUAUUUUGACUAAUGCUCUAUAUAAGUUAGAAAGCUAAUUUGAGAAAAAAAAUGAUCAAUGGAAUUUAACUGCUUUAGCAGAAUUCUAUAAGGAAAAUGUCUCCAAAUGGCAAAAUAUCACAUAAUAAUAUGAUAUACCUUAAAGAAAAUAGUUACUAAAUCCUAGAGAUUCAAAACCAUAAAAUGAAAAGAAUUUUGAAAUUAACCCAAAGAAAUUAACUCUCAGAUGAUUAACUCUCGAGUUUGGCAAAAAAAAAUUUUUUUAAUUAAAAAAAAUAAGAAGAAUAAAAUAUAUCAAUAAUCAUUAUAUCUCAAUAAUCAUCAUAAUUUGUAAUUAUGAUUAUUUAUUUUAGAAGAAAAGCUGGGAUAAAGAAAGGAUGAUUUUAUAGGACCACACUGUUCAUCAAAAAAAAUGCUUUACCAAUUUACUAUUUCUAAAUUUAGUGGUUCAAAUAUGUCUCUCCAUUGAGAUUUUUACUCCCUGCAUAUUCCUUUCUACUUGAAUUCUCACCUUGGUUGUCUCACCAAGGCCAACAUGAUAAGGCAUUGUGAAAACAUGAUAUGCACAGUGAAAGAAGCACAGUUAGGAACUUCUCAGCUCACAAAGAUAAAUGAAACAUGGUACCAGCUCCUAGGACACCUACAGUCACAAAAAGGAACUAAAACAGCCACACAGGCAACUACUAACCAUGUAAUUCCAGAUAAAAUGUGAUAAGUAUUUUAAAGGAGGCAUAAUUAGGAGUUCCCUUUGUGACUCAGUGGUUAACAAACCUGACUAGGAUCCAUGAGGAUACAGGUUCCAUUCCUGGCCUCGAUCAGUGGGUUAAGGAUCCAGCGUUGCCAUGGGCUGUGGUGUAGGUUGCAGACACGGCUCAGAUCCUGCAUUGCUGUGGCUGUGGCCCUAAAAAAAGCAAAAAAAAAAAGAGGUAUAAUGAAAAUACAAAUGGAGCUCCUCUAUAUUGUUGAAAGGAAUGUAACUGCAGCAACUGCUAUGGAAAACAGUAUGGAAGUUCCUUUAAAAACUAAAAAUAAAGGUGCCAUAUGAUCUGGUGAUCACACUCCUGAGUAUAUGUCUGGAGAGAUCUCUAAUUUGAAAAUAUACAUGCACCCCAACAUUCAUAGCAGCACUUUUUACAGUAGUCAAGACAUGAAAACAACACAUAAAUGUCCAAGGACAAAGAAGAUGUGGUAUACAUAUAUAAUGGAAUAUUACUCAGCCAUGAAAAAGAAUGAAAUAACGCCAUUUGCAGCAACAUGGAUGCAACUAGAGAUUAUCAUACUAAGUGAAGUAAGUCAGAAAGAGAAAGACAAAUAUUAUAUGAUAUCACUUAUUUGUGGAAUCUAAAAUAUGACACAAAUGAACUUAUUUACAAAAUAGAAACAAACUCAGAGACAUAGAAAACAAACUUAUGGUUACCAGAGGGGAAAGAGGGGUGGGGGAGGGAUAAAUUGGGAGUUUUGGAUUAGCAGAUACAAACUACUAUACAAAACAUAUAAAUAGGGAGUUCCCAUUGUGGUGCAGUGGAAACAAAUCCAACUAGUAUCCAUGAGGAUGUAGGUUCGAUUCCUGAUCUUGCUCAGUGGGUUAGGGAUCCAGCGUUGCCAUGAGCUGUGGUGUAGGUUACAGACAAGGCUCGGAUCCUGUGUUGCUUCACCUGUGCGUAGGCUCAGAGCUGUAGCUCCAAUUCAACCCCUAGCCUAGGAAUUUCCAUAUGCCUCAGGAGCAGCCCUAAAAAUAAAAAUAAAAUAAAAUAAAAUAGAUAAACAACAAGAUUCUACUGUAUAGCACAGGGAACUGUAUUCAGUAUCCUGUAGUAAGCUGUAAUGGAAAAUAUUAUGCUAAAGAAUUUAUAGAGGUGGGAUGAAGAUGGCAGAGGAGUAAGACAUGGUGCUCACCUUCUCCCAAAAACACAUCAAAAAACCCAAAAAUCCCAUCUACAUGUAGAACGAUUUGCACAGAACAUCUACUGGCAGAAGAUGUUAAACUUCCAAAAAGGGCAAGAAACUCUCCACAUAACUGUGUAGAACAAAAGGGGGGAAAAAAAUGAGGGAGAGAAGAGAGAAAAAGGGAAUUAGUAUGGGUCUAGCACUCCUGAGAGGGAGCUGUGAAAGAGGAAAGAAAUCUGUACCCUGGGAACCCACCUAAUUGGCGGGGAGAUCAGCCAAGAUGGAGAGGGAAGAUCAAAGCCCUAGAGAAAAGUGCAACAGCCAGACUGAGGAGGUCAAAGCAGAGCGAGAGCCACAGAGACCAUCAGCACCACUGCCCUGGACACCACUGCCUGAGACACUUGGUCAGGGGCUGGGUGCUGAGACUCAGGCUCUGGAGGUCAGUUCUAGGGAGAGAACUAGGGUUGCUGUGUGGAGACAGCCUAGGGGCUAGGGAGCAAUGUGCCAUGUGCUGGGGAGCAGAGCACCACAACCAAGGGAGUGAGGGAGGAGGGGCAGGACUGCAAUAGGAAUAUCCUUCUCUGUGCAUGAGUGGGUUCUCAGGCAGCAGGGUCCCUCCUGCGUGGGCUAUGGGAAAUGGGGGCAAACUGACCCAGCCAUCUCAGACUCCAGAGGUGAGUGUGGUCCACCACCACUAGGGGUCCAUGAACAGGCACCACCUAUGGCUCCAGUCACCUCAGGGGUUAUCACAGAGGAAGGCAUUACAACUGAGCACCACCCAGUGUUCCUCCCCUAGGCACUACAACUGAGCACCACCAGUGUUCCUCCCCUAGGAAUAUCCUGUGGCUGUCACUGCCAAAGGCUCUGGUCACCACCUACCCCUGCCUGAGGGUCACUGCCACCUCUCAGGGCCCUGCAACCAGGAGCAGCCUGUGCCACCUCCUCAUGGGUCCCCACCACUGUCAAGGGCCGAGCAACCAGACACUGGCUACUAGCCCUGCCCAUUUCUUCCAACUCCCUGGAAGCACAUGCAGGCUGUACACCAGCAUGGGGAUAACAGCCUACAGACACUGAGGAAAGAGAAAGCAAGCAUCCAAACCAAAAUAGCCUUCCAAGACUACAGCAGCUGUUUUUGCUGAACUCACAGAAUAAGAAAAAUAUAAGCAAAAUGAAGAGGCUCAGGAACCAUUCCAGGUUAAAAGAACAGGAGAAUUUUCUGAAGGAGCAAACAAUGAAAUAGACCUCUGCAGCCUAAAAGACAUCAAGUUCAAAAAGGUGAUAGUGAAAAUUCUGAAGGAAUUAAAAAAUGGAUAUGAAUGAAGAGCAGAUAUGAACAGUAAUGCAGAUUACUUUAGAAAGGAACUAGAAAAUAUAAGGAGGAGCUGAGGAAAAUUAGAAAAUUCACUUGCAGAGAUAUAAGGUGAGUUAAAGGUACUGAGGAGCAUAAUGAAUAAUGUAGAGGGACAAAUCAGUGACUUGGAAGAUAGAAUAAUGGAAAUAACCCAAUUAAGGACAGCAGAUAGAAAACCAUAUGAAAAAACAUUAAUGCAACAUAAGAGAUCAAUAGGAUAAUAUAAAGCAGACCAAUCUAUGUAUAAUAGGGAUUCUAGAAGGAGAAAAAAAAAAAAAGGAAAGGGGAUUGAAAAUACAUUUGAAGAAAUUAUGGCUGAAAACUUUCCAAAUCUAAAGGAAACAUAUAUCAAGAUACAGGAAGCACAGAAGGCCCCAAACAAGUUGAAUUCAAACAGGCCCAUACCAAGACAUAAUAGUAAUGGCAAAAGUUAAAGAUAAGGAGAAGAUUCUAGAGGGAGCAAGGAAAAAAAAAUUAAUUAUAAGGGAACCCCCAUAAGGCUAUCAGCUGAUUUCUCUAUAGAAACACUGCAGGCCAGAAGAGAGUGGCAAGAUACAUUUAAAGUUCUAAAAGGUAAAAACUGGGAAGUUCCCAUCGUGGCUCAGUGGUAGCAACCCUGACUAGGGAAAAUGAGGAUGCAGGUUCGAUCCCUGUCAGUGGAUUAAGGAUCUGGCACUGCUGUGAGCUGUGGUAUAGGUCGCAGACACGGCUCGGGUCAUGAGUUGCUCUGGCUGUGGUGUAGGCUGGCAGCUGUAGCUCCAAUUCAGUCCCUAGCCUGGGAACCUCCAUAUGCUGAGGGUGUGGCCCUAAAAUACAAAAAAAUAAAAUAAAAUAAAUCAAAGGGAAAAUACUGCAGCCCAGAAUACUCUAACCAACAAGAAUAUCAUUUAACUAGAAGGAGGAGGAAUUCCUGUUGUGGUACAGUGGAAGGGAAUCUGACUAGCAUCCAUGAGGAUGCAGUUUGAUCACUGGCCUCGUUCAGGGGGUUAAAAAUCUGGCAUUGCCGUGAGCUGUGGUGUAGGUCGCAGACACGGCUCAGAUCCCAAGUUGCUAUGGCCAGCAGCUGUAGCUCCAAUUUGAUCCGUAGCCUGGGAACUUCCAUAUGCCACGGGUGCAGCCCUAAAAAGCAAAAAAAAAAUAUAUAUAUAAAUAAAUAAUUAGAAGGAGAAAUAAAGAAUUUUUCCAAAAAAUAAAAACUAAAAGAAUACAGCAAUACUAAACCCACUGUAAAGGAAAUAUUGAAAGGUCUUCUCUAAAUAGGAAAGAAGUAAGAAGAUAGAGGAUGGAGGAAAUCACAACUGGAAAGUAAUCACUCAAAUAAGCCAGUCUACAGA
rnacentral:lncRNA from 1 species